UUGUGAGUACCAUCAUUACUGGGAUACUCUGCAUGUCAGGUUUUCUGAUGUGUUGAACACUUUGGACACUUUAGGAUGUCUACUCGACACUUCAUACCAUCAUUACAUGUAUACUUUUGGCACUUUAUAUGAUGAUUUUUUAAAUCUGGCAUAACCAUUAGCAACUAUUUUAUCAAAAUAUUAUUAACCCAAGGAGCAUAAAUCUAGCUCAUUGUUCGUUAUAUGCAUAUAUACAUAUUUACAUGGAGACAUGUCUCCAUCUCCGGUUUUACAAGAUUCCCAUGUCAGAUUUUUCUAGCCACUUGGACACUUGACACCCAUAUCACAUGUCCAUGUCACUGAUUAGUACUUGUACUUAACAAGCACUCAUGAAAUGAUCAACAGUUAAAUACAUCCAAGUGAGCAACCUUAACUUACACAAUAUAGAUUCUUUUAUAGGGUUAGUCAUGCCUCUUAUC
rnacentral:lncRNA from 1 species